ACGGGGUGCAGCAGGCGCGAAACCUUUACACUGCACGAACGUGCGAUAAGGGGACUCCAAGUGCGAGGGCAUACAGUCCUCGCUUUUUCCUACCGUAAGGAGGUAGGCGAAUAAGAGCUGGGCAAGACCGGUGCCAGCCGCCGCGGUAAUACCGGCAGCUCGAGUGAUGGCCACUAUUAUUGGGCCUAAAGCGUCCGUAGCUGGCCGAACAGGUCCGUCGGGAAAUCCGCUCGCUCAACGAGCGGACGUCCGGCGGAAACCAGUCGGCUUGGGACCGGAGGACCCGAGGGGUACGUCCGGGGUAGGAGUGAAAUCCUGUAAUCCUGGACGGACCACCGGUGGCAAAAGCGCCUCGGGAGGACGGAUCCGACAGUGAGGGACGAAAGCUUGGGUCACGAACCGGAUUAGAUACCCGGGUAGUCCAAGCUGUAAACGAUGCUCGCUAGGUGUGGCACUGGCUACGAGCCAGUGCUGUGCCGUAGGGAAGCCGAGAAGCGAGCCGCCUGGGAAGUACGUCCGCAAGGAUGAAACUUAAAGGAAUUGGCGGGGGAGCAC
rnacentral:rRNA from 1 species